rnacentral:rRNA from 1 species
AUGCACGCUGGCGGCGUGCCUAAUACAUGCAAGUCGAGCGAACAGAUAAGGAGCUUGCUCCUUUGACGUUAGCGGCGGACGGGUGAGUAACACGUGGAUAACCUACCUAUAAGACUGGGAUAACUUCGGGAAACCGGAGCUAAUACCGGAUAACAUAUUGAACCGCAUGGUUCAAUAGUGAAAGGCGGCUUUGCUGUCACUUAUAGAUGGAUCCGCGCCGUAUUAGCUAGUUGGUAAGGUAACGGCUUACCAAGGCAACGAUACGUAGCCGACCUGAGAGGGUGAUCGGCCACACUGGAACUGAGACACGGUCCAGACUCCUACGGGAGGCAGCAGUAGGGAAUCUUCCGCAAUGGGCGAAAGCCUGACGGAGCAACGCCGCGUGAGUGAUGAAGGUCUUCGGAUCGUAAAACUCUGUUAUCAGGGAAGAACAAAUGUGUAAGUAACUGUGCACAUCUUGACGGUACCUGAUCAGAAAGCCACGGCUAACUACGUG